GAGCGUAGUCCCAGCCCAGACCCGGUAUCGGUCCUGGUCGGGGAGUCGUUGAGAUUGCCUUACAAGCGAGAUGUCACUGGUUCGAACCCGGUAGCGCCCACCA
rnacentral:tRNA from 1 species